UACGUGGGAGCAGUAGAAGGCUAUGAGGGAAAGUGGGUCGGUGUUGAUUGGGACAAUGGAGAUGGCAAACACGAUGGAUCACAUAAUGGGGUUCACUAUUUCGAAGCUCAAGGCCCAAAAACGGCGUCGUUUGUUCGACCUCACAAUCUUAGCUCUGGGAUACCACUGCUAUUUCGAAGCUCAAGGCCCGAAAACGGCGUCGUUUGUUCGACCUCACAAUCUUAGCUCCGGGAUACCACUCUUGAAUGCCCUUGAGAUUAAAUAUCAUGGAGAAUCUACUAAAGAAGAAGAAGGUAUUAGUUGAUAAUUGUUGUCAGUUUUUGGUGGUUUCUUGUGCUUAGUGAUAUUGAAAAGUUUUUUUUUAUCCAAUAUAUUUUACCUGGGUGCAAAAGACUCUUGCUUUCUCUAGAGGGUGAUUUGUUUUGGUGCUUGAUUAAAAUGGAAUUGGAGUAGUAUGGUAGUGGUCGUUUGGUUUAGAGUUUAGAGACAAGUUAUGCAGGGAACAAUAAUGCACAGAUUGUAAUAUAGGGAUAAAAAAUGCAAGGAUUGUAAGGCAUUGAUUAUUAUAUGGGUAUUAGUUCUUAUACGAUGUAUAGUUUAAAUAUAUGGGUAAUGGAUUGUACUUUGGUCAUUUUAGUUGCUUUAAUCCAUGUAUUACUAAUCCACGUAUUCUUAUUCCACUUUCUAUCCUGCAUAAAUGAAUACAUAGAUUCUUGCAUAACUUACACGGGCGGACCUAGAGCAUUGAGUAUGGGUUCCCGGAAACUCAGUAACUCUUGGUAUUAGUUCUUAUACGAUGUAUAGUUUAAAUAUAUGGGUAAUGGAUUGUACUUUGGUCAUUUUAGUUGCUUUAAUCCAUGUAUUACUAAUCCACGUAUUCUUAUUCCACUUUCUAUCCUGCAUAAAUGAAUACAUAGAUUCUUGCAUAACUUACACGGGCGGACCUAGAGCAUUGAGUAUGGGUUCCCGGAAACUCAGUAACUCUUGCGUAGAACCUGUAUUUAUAUUAAGAAAUUCACUAAAUAUUUAUAGAUAUCUAAUUGGGUUCUAACUGUGAACCAAGUUACUAUUGCAUAUUAAUUUAAAAUUAUGGUAGGAACCCAUAAACCUCAUAUCCUAGAUCCGCCUCUAAUAACUUAUGCAUGUACUUAUUUAUGUUAGCAACAAAAAUGACGACCAAUGUAUAAGUAAUGCUGAAU
rnacentral:lncRNA from 1 species